AACGAACGCUGGCGGCAUGCCUAACACAUGCAAGUCGAACGAGACCUUCGGGUCUAGUGGUGCACGGGUGCGUAACGCGUGGGAAUCUGCCCUUGGGUUCGGAAUAACAGUUGGAAACGACUGCUAAUACCGGAUGAUGACGUAAGUCCAAAGAUUUAUCGCCCAAGGAUGAGCCCGCGUAGGAUUAGCUAGUUGGUGAGGUAAAGGCUCACCAAGGCGACGAUCCUUAGCUGGUCUGAGAGGAUGAUCAGCCACACUGGGACUGAGACACGGCCCAGACUCCUACGGGAGGCAGCAGUGGGGAAUAUUGGACAAUGGGCGAAAGCCUGAUCCAGCAAUGCCGCGUGAGUGAUGAAGGCCUUAGGGUUGUAAAGCUCUUUUACCCGGGAUGAUAAUGACAGUACCGGGAGAAUAAGCUCCGGCUAACUCCGUG
rnacentral:rRNA from 1 species